UGGGGAAUAUUGCACAAUGGGGGAAACCCUGAUGCAGCGACGCCGCGUGAACGAAGAAGGUAUUCGUAUCGUAAAGUUCUGUCCUAUGGGAAGAUAAUGACAGUACCAUAGAAGAAAGCUCCGGCUAAAUACGUGCCAGCAGCCGCGGUAAUACGUAUGGAGCGAGCGUUGUCCGGAAUUAUUGGGCGUAAAGGGUACGCAGGCGGUUUAAUAAGUCGAAUGUUAAAGAUCGGGGCUCAACCCCGCAAAGCAUUGGAAACUGAUAAACUUGAGUAGUGGAGAGGAAAGUGGAAUUCCUAGUGUAGUGGGGAAAUACGUAGAUAUUAGGAGGAAUACCAGUAGCGAAGGCGACUUUCUGGACACAAACUGACGCUGAGGUACGAAAGCGUGGGGAGCAAACAGG
rnacentral:rRNA from 1 species